GGGGAAAGGGAUGGAUGACAUUGAGGUCAAUCCUGAAGAUGAAGUAGAAAUGAGUGAUGAUGAUUCCAGCGAAGAAACCAUUGCUGACCUACAUCAAUGCAAAGGCUCAACAACAGAGACUUCUAGGGACCAGACACUUCUGGAG